GGAAGAACGUAGCGAAAUGCGAUAAGUAAUGUGAAUUGCAGAAUUCAGUGAAUCAUCGAAUCUUUGAACGCACAUUGCGCCCGCCAGUAUUCUGGCGGGCAUGCCUGUUCGAGCGUCAUUUCAACCAUCAAGCCCCCGGCUUGUGUUGGGGACCUGCGGCUGCCGCAGGCCCUGAAAAGCAGUGGCGGGCUCGCUGUCACACCGAGCGUAGUAGCAUACAUCUCGCUCUGGGCGUGCUGCGGGUUCCGGCCGUUAAACCACCUUCAUAACCCAAGGUUGACCUCGGAUCAGGUAGGAAGACCCGCUGAACUUAAGCAUAUCAAUAAGCGGAGGA
rnacentral:misc_RNA from 1 species